AUGCAGUUCCACAUAGCAAACGAAGUGAUCCGUUUGCUCGACCUAGCACAGGAGAGCAGACGACUGACAACACUUGAGAUCAACCUAAGAAAGCAACUGAAGCUCAAGGUCCUAGGGUUGGCAGCCAUUGAGAGAGCACGGAGAAGGCAAGCUUCAAGGAUCACCUGGCUGCGUGCUGGGGAUGCGAGCACAAAGUUCUUCCAUGCUAAAAUGAGGGCAAGACGCAGAAAAAAUCACAUACACUCCCUGGUUAAUGGCAACAUAGUGGCCUAUGAGCACGAGGACAAAGAGAAGCUGAUCCAUGAUCAUUUCCAAAGCAGCCUGGGCCGGCAGGAUCCGCGCCAAACAACCCUGAACUGGGACAGGAUAAACGUCCCGAUGAUAAACCCCCAGGGUUUGGACGCUCCCUUCUCGCACGCUGAAGUGUGGGCAGCGAUUAUCGACUCCCCAGCAGAUAAAGCUCCGGGUCCGGACGGUUUCAAUGGACACUUCUUCAGAUCUUGCUGGCAUAUCAUCAAAGAGGACGUCAUGGCCGUUUUUGAAAAAUUCUACCACCUCUCUGGGCAAAAUUUUGCAAGUCUCAACACUGCCCUCAUAGUGCUCCUGCCCAAGAAGAAUGGAGCUUCUGAAGUGGGUCACUUUCGGCCGAUCAGUCUCAUACACUCAAUUGCAAAGCUAAUAUCGAAGGUGCUCGCUUCCAGACUGUCGGGGGCACUUUGUUAG
rnacentral:rRNA from 1 species